rnacentral:rRNA from 1 species
GACGUAGGGCGCGAGCGUUGUCCGGAUUUAUUGGGCGUAAAGAGCUCGUAGGCGGCUUGUCGCGUCGUUCGUGAAAACCUGCAGCUCAACUGCAGGCUUGCGGUCGAUACGGGCAGGCUAGAGUUCGGUAGGGGAGACUGGAAUUCCUGGUGUAGCGGUGAAAUGACGCAGAUAUCAGGAGGAACACCCAUGGCGAAGGCAGCUAACUGGGCAUUAUCUGACGCUGAGGCGACGAAAGCGUGGGUAGCAAACAGG